rnacentral:rRNA from 1 species
CCCUAGAUGUCCGGGGCCGCACGCGCGCUACACUGAAGGAAUCAGCGUGGCUUUCUCCCUGACCCGAAAGGGUUGGGAAACCCGUUGAAUCUCCUUCGUGAUAGGGAUUGGGGCUUGAAAUUGUUCCCCAUGAACGAGGAAUUCCCAGUAAGCGCGAGUCAUAAGCUCGCGUUGAUUACGUCCCUGCCCUUUGUACACACCGCCCGUCGCUACUACCGAUUGAACGGUUUAGUGAGGACCUCGGAUUGGUCUCGGCCCGCUCUUUACCGGGCGGCGCCGUUGGUCGAGAAGACGCUCGAACUUGAUCGUUUAGAGGAAGUAAAAGUCGUAACA